GGAAAAGAAACCAACAGGGAUUGCCUCAGUAACGGCGAGUGAAGCGGCAACAGCUCAAAUUUGAAAUCUGGCCUCUUGGGGUCCGAGUUGUAAUUUGUAGAGGAUGUUUCGGGUACCGCCUCGGUUUAAAUUUCUUGGAACAGAAUGUCAAAGAGGGUGAGAAUCCCGUCUUGGACCGGCGGUAGGGCCUAUGUGAAACUCCUUCGACGAGUCGAGUUGUUUGGGAAUGCAGCUCAAAAUGGGUGGUAAAUUUCAUCUAAAGCUAAAUAUUGGCCAGAGACCGAUAGCGCACAAGUAGAGUGAUCGAAAGAUGAAAAGCACUUUGAAAAGAGAGUUAAACAGUAUGUGAAAUUGUUGAAAGGGAAGCGCUUGCAACCAGACUUGAGCGCGGCGGUUCCCCCUUGCUUCUGCUUGGGUUACUCCGCCGUGUCCAGGCCAACAUCGGUUCUGGGGGUCGGUCAAAGGCUCUGGGAAUGUAUCUACCCACGGGUAGACUUAUAGACCAGGGUGUCAUGCGACCUCCCGGGACCGAGGAACGC
rnacentral:rRNA from 1 species